UACGGGGGGAGCAAGCGUUGUUCGGAUUCACUGGGCGUAAAGGGUGCGUAGGCGGCUGAGUAAGUCUGAUGUGAAAUCUCCGAGCCUAACUCGGAAACUGCAUCGGAUACUAUUCAGCUAGAGGAUUGGAAGGGAGACUGGAAUUCUCGGUGUAGCAGUGAAAUGCGUAGAUAUCGAGAGGAACACCAGUGGCGAAGGCGAGUCUCUGGACAAUUCCUGACGCUGAGGCACGAAAGCCAGGGGAGCAAACGGG
rnacentral:rRNA from 1 species